UAUUGUAGAGAAAUGUGUAGAGAAAUUAGUUUUAUUACUAAAGAUUUUUCCGUGUUUUUAUCGGAGAAAAGAGCCCCCAUUUACUAAAUUAUGAGGUAUAUAAAUAUGUUGUAUCACGUGCCAUCCACAUUUUACAUAAAAACUUUCUACAAUCAACCAAGUCCUAACCCUUGCCAUUUGGGGGCUUCAGUGAUGAUGAUGCUCCUCUGUUAAUUGCAGCUGUCUCUGGUUUUUGAAUUCACAAGUCAAAAUUGUUGGGCAAAAUUUGAAAGAAUUACGUAAGAAUAAUACCCGCACGAUGCCACUAUAUAAUAGUGGCGAGAUGAUGACAGUGACGGGUGGCGAUAGCAUGUGGCGGUAGCAGCAAUGGUGGAGGUGGGCUGGUGGUGGUGCUGUUAUGGCGACGGAGAUGGUGGUGGUGACAGGUGGUGGUGCAAGAGGCCGUAGUAGCAACGAUGGUGGUGUGAUGGC